UAACUGUUGUGCAAGCUUCUCAGGUAAGGCUAGAAUCUUCUAUUAAUAUUGUAUGCUUAGGCCUGUCAGUGGUAUUUGUCCUGUACCAGUCAUUACAGAAGUAAUCUAUUCAUCAGGAUUAGUUGUGCAUCUGCACUUGCAUAUUUGAUGUGAUGGAGCAUUUUUCUGGCUUAUCUAGCUCUAAUCAAGGUUCUAGGUGUUGAGUUGUCUUUUUAAUGUGUCAUGUUCUGGUUUUCCUGUGAUUGAUUUUUGCAAGUGGUGAUUGUGCACAUUGUAGGUGAAAAAAAGAUAUAUGCAUCAAUUUAUAUAUUGAGAAAUAUCAAUCAAGGACUUUUUUGUACUGAACUUUCAUUUUGUUGGGUAUUUGUUCCAUUUGUUGUCAAGUUGUGCAUUAAAUAUCAACUUGAAAAUGAUUUGCAUUAUUGCUUCAACACCUGCUGAAUCCUUUAUUCUACUGGCA
rnacentral:misc_RNA from 1 species